rnacentral:rRNA from 1 species
UUGGAGGGCAAGUCUGGUGCCAGCAGCCGCGGUAAUUCCAGCUCCAAUAGCGUAUAUUAAAGUUGUUGCAGUUAAAAAGCUCGUAGUUGAAUUUCGGGGUUCUACCGUUGGUCGGGCUUUGUCUGUACUGGUGUGUAGAAUUUCUACCUUCUGGGGAACCAUCAUGCUAUUAAUUUAGCGUGGUGAGAAACCAGGACCUUUACCUUGAAAAAAUUAGUGUGUUCAAAGCAGGCUUAUGUCUGAAUACAUUAGCGUGGAAUAAUAGGAUAGGACGGUGGUCCUGUUUUGUUGGUUUCUGAAUCACCGUAAUGAUUAAUAGGGAUAGUUGGGGGCAUUAGUAUUCAAUUGUCAGAGGUGAAAUUCUUGGAUUUAUUGAAGACUAACUUCUGCGAAAGCAUUUGCCAAGGAUGUUUUCAUUAAUCAAGAACGAAAGUUAGGGGAUCGAAGACGAUCAGAUACCGUCGUAGUCUUAACCAUAAACUAUGCCGACUAGGGAUCAGACGAUGUUAAUUUUUUAAUGACUCGUUCGGCGCCUUACGGGAAAC